CAGUAGCCGCGGUAAUACAGAGGGUGCAAGCGUUAAUCGGAAUUACUGGGCGUAAAGCGCGCGUAGGUGGUUUGUUAAGUUGGAUGUGAAAUCCCCGGGCUCAACCUGGGAACUGCAUUUGUGACUGUAUAGCUAGAGUACGGCAGAGGGGGAUGGAAUUCCGCGUGUAGCAGUGAAAUGCGUAGAUAUGCGGAGGAACACCGAUGGCGAAGGCAAUCCCCUGGGCCUGUACUGACGCUCAUGCACGAAAGCGUGGGGAGCAAACAGGAUUAGAUACCCGUGUAGUCCCUGUCUCUUAUAU
rnacentral:rRNA from 1 species